rnacentral:lncRNA from 1 species
GUCUCUACUGGGUGAUGCAUGCAUAUAAAGGUUUAUGUGAACACAUGAAUCUGCAUGUGUGGGUGAACUCUCCACAUCAUGUCAUUUAUUGUCCAUCAUUACAUAUCUGUGGUGUCUAGCACAUUCCUCUACCUUAUUUUCUGUCAUUGUACCUACUUCUACCUGAACACGUAUUAAAUAUCUUAUUAAAAAUACACAAAUAUUAUGUUUCCUCGGUGGUUUUUUUCCCCUCACAUCGGGCCCUCCUCUUCAGUCGACUUCAGUGUGGUACCUGCAGGUCUCAGGCCUUCUGGGAAGUUCCAGCUUUGCCUGGUUGCUCUCUCUCUGGCCAGCUCAGGCUGGAGCAGUGGGUGUUGGUGCCAUCCUGUGGCUAUAGGUGAUAAACCAGGCUGUGUUUUGACCCCUAGUCUUGAAUCCUGGAGUUCUCACAUGCGUGGAUUUAAAUGCUGUGUCUUUGUAAGGGCAGAUUGUGCCCAUUUUCCUUCUCUGCCUCUCAAGGGACUGUCUCCUGUGUUUAUUGACUUACCAUUAAAAAAAAUUAUAUACAUUGAUGAAUUAGAUUGUACUCCAUAAAUUGUAUGUGUUUGAAAAAUAAAGAAUAUUUUUUCAAUUUUUUUUCUGAUUUUUAUCUAUCUUUUAAAUUGUAUGUAUUUAUGGGGUACAAAAUGAUGUUAUGACUUUUCAGUACAGUGUGGAAUGUUUAAGUCAAAUUAUCCUAUCCAUUACCUCAAAUACUUGACUUUUUUUUUGUGAUGAGAAUGCUGUUUAUCACUUUUCACUCAUCAGCUCUUGAUGUUUUCCAUGCUAGGGACAGGAAAGGCUCCACACUUGACUUUCCCUCCUGUUUUCUUAGCCACUGUCAACCCUUGAAUGUACCCUCCAGGGUUGCCUGUCACCUUUUACACCUAGCCUGAUCCUUGUGCACCCACCUUCCUCUCAGGGACUGUCCUUAGGGAGUGACUUUAUGCACAGACUUAACGUGCUCUUCCUGCCUCCUUCAUCCCCAUAAGCCCCCAUCUCAGCCCCAUCUGAUUAUUUCUUCCCUCUCUCAUUUCCUGUUAUUCUGUUGGUUUUCUAACCUGAAGGGUAACUGCUUACUCCUUAGUUUUCUGCCUUAAUUUCUAAGUCAUAGGCUACUUUCAGGCUAAAAGUUUUCCUCCAGCCAUGGUUUUAGUCUCAUUCUGUAAGUCUUGGUUUUUAGUUUUAUUUAUUUGAAAUUUUUUUUUGAGACAGAGUCUCGCUCUUGUUGCCAAGGCUGGAGUGCAGUGGCACAAUCUUGGCUCACUGCAACCUCUGCCUCCUGGGUUCAAGCGAUUCUCCUGCCUCACCCUCCCAAGUAGCUGGGAUUACAGGCACUGGCCACCACGCCCAGCUAAUUUUUGUAUUUUUAAUAGAGAUGGGGUUUCGCAGUGUUGGCCAGGCUGGUCUCGAAUUCCCGACCUCAGGUGAUCCGCCCACCUUGGCCUCCCAAAGUGCUGGGAUUACAGGCGUGAGCCACCAUGCCUGGCCAACUUCUUGCUCUUUUUGCCACUGCUUUUAAGCUCAUAUGUUUGGAACUGAGGUAGCCUCAUUCUGCAGGUUUAGAGCUGAAGUAUUUUAACUAUUGCUUCUUCCAGUGUAUUUUCUGGUUUGCAGGCCAGUUUCUUCUUUAACUCAUCAGUGACACAGUGGUUUGUAUGGCUUUUAAUUUCGAAGAAUAUUUUUUCAAUUUGCUUUUUUGUUUUUUGCUGAUUUUUAUCUAUGUUAAUUUUAACUAGACAUGUUCCCUUGAUGGGCAUGACUAGACUUUUUUUUCCCCCGCUGCGUUUAUAAUUUAGAUGGAUUUUCACAUCUCAAGCCAGUUAAGAGUGUGGAAAAUAGGACUCCUUAAAGCACAGAUAUAACAAGUGGUUCAGAUUUACGAGGGUAACUCAGGUGAGAGUGUAUCAUUGUACUUGGCACACAGCACUCAGUAACUAUCACCUUUGAUUUAAAUGAAUGCAGCUGUAAAUGCUUUCCUAGGUGUCUUGUUGAUGUUUGUUAAUUUCUGUAGAGUUUGAUUCUGCUCCUUUCACUGUUUAUCACUUGACCCUUAUCACUUGAGAGUCCCCUUAUCACUUGACCUGCUGUUAUGUUUGAUUUAUUACAAAUACCCCAUCAGCCUGGGUCUCUCUUUACUCCCUUUGUACACCUACAUCUAAACAUAGGGAUUUGGAUUAUCUCAGGAUCCCACAUCCUCACUGUACCCCCACCCCCACCCCUACCAUAUCAUUCUUAAGUUUUCUAGUCCCUCCUUUUCAUUUGUGCUCCUUAAAGCCCAGCCCCAUGCCUGACUUUGGUUCCCACUGAGUUCUGUUACAAGCAUUGUACAUUUAUAGAUAUUAAAUCUUUAGCCAGGUCAUUUACCUGGG